rnacentral:lncRNA from 1 species
AUCUCUAUAUAGUCUAUACGACCAAAUAUAGGAAUCUGGAACGAGGAAGAUGGGUGAGACAGACCAAAACCGCCUUACCUAACAACAAAACCGCAACCCAAUUCAUAAAAAUAAAAUAAUGGAGUAAUACUACUAAGUACUAAGACUGUUACCGACGCAGAAAGUAUCGCCUGCCCUGCCCAGGAUUGAUUGCCAAACCUUAUCCAAAUACUAUACAUAUAUAUAUAUAUAUAUAUAUACACAUCCCAUUAUCUGCCCACUAUAAAUAAUGCCUCAUUACAUUAACUCUUAGAUAUCCAUCAAACAAACUUAUAAUAUCAAUAUAUAUAUAUAUUUACACGAGGGAUAAAAGAAGAAGAAGAAGAAGAAGAAGAAGAAAACAAUGGCAGAUAUUGCUAUGUUGGUUGCUGAGGAGUACGAGAAAAGGGUGAAGAAUUCAAGAAAAAAUGGUGAAGAAAUUGACCUCUUUAACUGCGUCUCUGUUUUUGUUGGAAGAUUUCAGAAUUAUAAGAAGAAAUUUGGAGAAGAAAAGAUGGAGAUUAAUGUGAAAUGGGUUUUGGAGCCCAAAUCCCAGGUUGGCCUUGCAGCUCUUAAUGGAUUCUUCUCUGCUUAAUUAAUUAAUCACACAAUUUCCCCAAUUUUCCUUUUCCUUGUCGAUCUUUUGUUAUAUAUAUAUAUAUAUAUAUAUAUAUAUAUAUAUAUAUGUAUGUAUGUGUUGUAUAUAUCUAAAAUAUAGUUUCUAUGUUUGUUAAUUGUCAUGUUCAAAUAGAGAAACAAUUAAUGAUUAAUAUUCUCCCAUGGUUCAUUCAGUUAUGAUCAGCAACUCAAAUGAUAAAGAAAAAGUGUGAGUUUUCAUGAAUUGAAUUGACUUAAUUUUGGUUUUUUGGGUGUUUAAUUAUGAAUUUGGACAAUUGAUUCCGAUUUAUUUCCUUAAUUCUUUUUUUUUUAUCACUUUUUUUAGUUAUUUAUUUCUUCUUAUUUAUCGUUUGUGUUUCAAAUUUUUUUUUUUGAUAAUUCUGGAGAGGGGUUGAACUGAAGACCUCUUGUUGGUGUUUGUGUUUUAAUUUUAGUGACUUAGUAUUUUAUAUUAUUUCGAAACACUAAAUUUUAAAUUUUUUUUUAUCUCCAUCUGAUAAUUUUUUUGAAAGAUAAUAAAAUUAAAAUUUUAAACUCAAUUAUUUUAAUUAAAUAAAAUAUUAAUUAUAUUUCUUAAUUUAUAUACUAUCUCCUAAAACAUCAAUAUUUAAGAAAGGGAGGAGGGAGUAAUUUAUGUUCAGAUAGAAAUUUAUACCACUGUAUAAAUAAAGUGUAGGUCUUUGGCAUUGAAUUCCAAUAGUAACAUAAAGUGCUCUGAUUGAUUAUUAAUAGCGUUUGACUCAAGUGGUACUCUAGAUUUCUUACUGACCAAAAGAUUUUAGGUUUAAAAAAGGUGUUCUCUCUUUAAUACUCUUUCGUUUCUUAAUAUAAGGUGGUUUUAAAGUUGUCUAUAAAUAUUAAGAAAAUGAUUAUAAAAUAUUAAAUAUAUUAUUAAUUAUUUAUAUUAUCUUUGUAUUAGAAAAAGAGUGUUAUUUAUUGGGCAAAAAAUAGUGAGUGAAUCAAAGUUAUACUCCCUCCGUCCCAUGAUAAAAAUCCUUAUUACUAUUUUGGAUAGUCCCAUGUUAAAUGUUCAUUUUUUUUAAUAACCAAAUUUUUACACAUAUUUUCUUAUUAUACACGUAGUAUUAAAUAUUUCAUAUUUUUCUUAUUCUAAUUCUCCCUCUAUAUUUAAUGAUAUUAUUAUGGACAGUUUUAUCAUUUCAUUCAUCUUCUUAAUAUGCGUGAAAAGUCCACAAAAACUUUUAUCUUGAGACGGAGGGAGUAUUUAUUAUUUGGGGUAAUAUUGGAAACUAAGCAAGUAAUGUUUACUUAAAAUUUUUAAACGACUUAUAUUUAGGAACAAAAAUAAUUUUCUAAAACGACUUAUAUUAAGGAACGAACGGAGUAUAAGUCGUUUUAGAGUUGUGCACAAGUAUUAAGAAAAUAAUUGUAUAGCAUUAAUUAUAAUAUCAAUUAUCUAUUUUGCCCUUGUAUUGGAAGAAUAGAUUGUUAUUUAUUGAACAGAAAAUAGUGAGAGAACCAAAGUUAUAUUUAAUAUUUAAGCAAUUAAUGCUUACUUGAAAUUUUAAAAUAACUUAUAUUAAGGAACAAAAAUAUUUCUCUAAAACGAUUUAUAUUAAAGAAUGGAGGGAGUAUUGAUUAAAUAUUUUUACACUUAAAGAGUCAUUUUUUCCCCUUUAGAACGCUUUUAAAGUCAUUUAAUAUGGUGUCACUUGUAAAAAUAUAGAAGGGUUUUAUUAGAAUGUACAUAAAUAGUACUUUCUCGGUUUCAUAAUAAUUGUCUUUUUAGUUUCAUGCAUAUGAAUUAAGAAAGUCAUUUAAUACUAUUAUUUAUGAAUUAAAAAAGUCAUUUAAUAUUAUUAUUUAUGAAUUAAGAAAGUCAUUUAAUACUAUUAGUACUUUUUCGGUUCCAUAAUAACUUUUUUCUUCUAAAAAAUUAAUUAUUAUGGAAUCGAGAAAGUAUAUAAAUAUCAAAAUACAAGUAAACAUAUACAUUCAUUUGACAUUUUGUCGGGGGUAAUAUUAUUUAUGUACCCGCAAUAUCAAUCGUAUUUCCUUUUAUUUUUAUUUUUAAUAAAAAAAAUUCUAAUAACAAAAUAAAUGGCAUUUCACUUGAUUGCAAUUAGGUGUUGUUUGUUUACAUCUGAUUGCCUCUUAAUGGACUGUCUCUUAUUUGCUAAGAGGCAUGAUGCUGUUUGUUUUCUUUUUUGUUACCUCUGAAUGAUUCUUAAUCGGUAAGACAGAAAAUAAAAUCUUAAUAAUUAAGAGGUACUUCUUAAUGAAAUUUUUUUGAUAAUUUUUUUAUAUAAAUAUAUUCAACAAUAUUAUGCACUCAUUUUUAUUAAAUUGAAUAUUUAAAAUUAUUAAAUAAAAUUUUACCCUUUAAAAUGGUAAAAUAGUAUCAUUAAGAGACAACUUACUUUUUAGUUAUCAAACAAUUUUUUAGAUUCAAACCUCAUAACCAUUCAGAUGAUCUAAUUUAUUAAGACAUCAUAAUCAUUCAGAUCUUAAUUCACAGGUUUAUCAAACACAAUCAAGUCUAAUUGAUAGCUAAUGAGAUCUUAACUUAAUGAAUAAGAUUGAAACUCCAUAAUAUUUAAUUAUAUAUGAGGUGUGAGUCUCACUUGUAUGAGUUUAUUUUUUUCUCUUUUUAAUGUGAAAUGUAUUGUUUAAUUCCUUUGUGUGAAGUAUAAGUAUAUUUCCUCUUUAAUAUGUGACUUGAUUAAUUGAUUAUUAAUAUUAUAAUAGUGUAAUUUUGUAUUUAAAUUUUUUAAUUAUGAGAUUAUAUUAUAUUUAAACAAACAAAAAAGUCUAUUUGCUUAAUUAAUUAAUGCAGUUAAUUAUAAGAUGACUUCAAUUUCUCUCGAUGCACGUGAGACUCCCAACAUUUGUGCACAUUUAAGAAAUUUGGGUUGAGUAAAAUCAAUUGAAAGAUUAUUUUCACGUGUUAAAAUAAUAUUUUUAUAUAAUUUUUUUUCACAUAAAAAUAAGACUCACUCAUUAUUCAUGUUAUUUAUAUAAGAAAAAUCAUGUAAAAAUAUCAAAUUUUUAUGUGAAAAUAUCGGUUACCAAUCCUUUAAUAAACUUUUCAUUACAUAACAUUACCUUUUAAGAUCAUACUUGAAUUAAUUUUUUUAAAAAGAUAUAAUUAAUAUUAUGAUCAUUAAGAAUUAAAAAAGACAAAUUUGUUUUUUUCAUUACAAUAAAUUUUUAGGAUCACAUUGUUAGAAUUUGAGUCAAUAUUAAAGUGAAUUUAAUUAAUUAUUUAAAAUGAAUUCACAUAUCAAUGUGUUCUACUCUAUGAGUAGAUUAAAUUAAAAAUUUGGAAGCUCAAAUCUAUGAAGUAAUGAAUGAGAUAUUAACUUUCAAAGAUUACCCUUGAAAAAGAUUAAUAAUACUAAAUACACGUGGGAAGUCAAGUCCCAUGUCGGUUAAAAACUAAAGAAUUGUUGAGUUUAUAUACUAGAAAAUUGUGACGCCACUAAAAUAGGUCCACACAACCCAUUUUGGGUCGCCAAAUACACACUAUAGAAUCUAAAUACAAAUCUUCCUACAUAAACAUACAGUCGACAACUGUAGACCCCAAAGAAGAAUGAGAAGAUUACUAUCCUGUUUAUUUCAAUGGUGUGUAUCUUCUUGCCAUAUAAUUAUCUCUAUUGUCUCAAAUUGAGGAUUAUAUUUCAACCACACUCCAAGAUUAUAUAGAUAAUGCACAUAGAUAUAGUUAGCUAGUGGAUGCGCACAACCAUAUAUUAUGAUAACACGAAUUUGUAUGUGGUUAGACAUCAUGUAUGAUAGUGACAACACACCCUUAAGCUCUCCGUAUAAUUUUGUCCUCCUCAUUCUAAUAUGGUGCAUUUUUACGCUUUCAAAGUCAGGUUCUCAUCACCCUAUUGUUGUUCACCAAAAUUAACUAUUAAAUGACGUAUAAAAUAUGACACAUACAUUUUAAGUCCUUAAUACAAUUAUAUAUUGUCAUGCUGGUUUAUAAUGUAUUGAGAAAUUUCAACAGCCACAGAUCAUCACUCUAUUCCCUUGUUAUCCCCGCUCGACUGAGAUACACUCUUAUUACCUGAAAGGAAUUGUGAAGCAAAAUGGUGAGUAUAAAUACCCCAAUAAAGAAUAUUAUGACUAAAGAUAAUUAAAUUAUCAAUAACCUUCAUCAGUAAUAAAUCAGAUAUUUAUAACAUAUGGUAGAUGAUAAAAGUUUUCAACCAUAAUUGCAGCGAAAUCAACAAUCCAUUAGAAGAGAAAAGUAGAACAUAAUGUCUAUUAUAUCCUCCAAAUUAAAAGUUAAUCAUUGAUUUUUCAUUCCUGUAAUACCCAUCAACAGUUCUUUGUUGCAUCCAAGAUCAGGGACGGAGCCAGGAUUUGUUCUUUGGGGGGGCCAAAAAUUUUUUUAACAUCAUAAAAUAUAUUCAUCGCUAAAAAAUAAAUUUUCACUAUUAUAAAACAUAUUUUUACUAAAACAAAAAUAAUAUAGUAAUAGAAUUUGCUUUGACAAAAAUAAUAAAACAUAGCAAAAAAAAAGUCUUUUAAAACAUAUCAAAACUUCGUCAAAACUUGGGGGCCGUAGUCUUACAAAAAUUUUAAAACAAACCAAAUGUACAAAUGAGUUUUAUAAAAUUUUCAAACUUUGGNNNNNNNNNNNNNNNNNNNNNNNNNNNNNNNNNNNNNNNNNNNNNNNNNNNNNNNNNNNNNNNNNNNNNNNNNNNNNNNNNNNNNNNNNNNNNNNNNNNNNNNNNNNNNNNNNNNNNNNNNNNNNNNNNNNNNNNNNNNNNNNNNNNNNNNNNNNNNNNNNNNNNNNNNNNNNNNNNNNNNNNNNNNNNNNNNNNNNNNNNNNNNNNNNNNNNNNNNNNNNNNNNNNNNNNNNNNNNNNNNNNNNNNNNNNNNNNNNNNNNNNNNNNNNNNNNNNNNNNNNNNNNNNNNNNNNNNNNNNNNNNNNNNNNNNNNNNNNNNNNNNNNNNNNNNNNNNNGGCUCCAACAUACAUGUGGCUUCGUCCCUGUCCAAGAUAAAUAGAACUUUCAUCACCUUCAUCACCUGUUUUUACCUGAUCCACCAAAGAUUAUAGUUAAAUUCACAAUUCAUGUUUGUAAUAAUGUAAAUCAACAGUUUCUCCUUACCACAAAAGCUUAAUACACUACAAGAAAAAAGCUUAAUUCCGACGGAAUAUUCCGUCAGACCUAAGCCUAUUCAGUCGAAACUAUAUUAUUUCCGACGAAACUAUUCGUCAAAAAUUCGGUCGUAUAUAUUCGCGUCGAAAAUAAGAUCCGUCAAGAAUUCAGUCGGAUAUUUCAUAUCAUCGACGAAAGUAUCUCCGACAGAAUUACGUCGAACAUAAGCUAACUUCGACAGAAUAUAUAGGACAAAACUUUCCGUCGAAUAUAAUAGACCCUAUUUUCAACGGACUUAUUUCCUCGGAAUAAUCCUAUUUCCGACUGAAAAUUAAAAAUGAUCUGAUAUUUAUUAAAAUUGACUUAUUAGUAGCUUCGACGGAAUUUGUGUCGGAGAUACCUUAGUUACGACGGAUACGUUCCGUCGAAGUUAACGUAUUUUCGACUGAAAAUUAGAAUAUUUUGACAUUUAUAAAAAAAAAUUUAUUUGUUAACUCCGAGGGAAGUUCCGUCGAGAAUACCCUAUUCCGUCAAAAUUAACUAUUUUUUUUUAAAUACAGAUUUUAAAAGUUCAGUUUCCAGGUGUUUAAACCCAUUAAUGUACCUGUAACCUGUUACAACCCAAUACACAAUAAUAUAAACCUGUAUCUCAUAUUCAAAUAUGCAACGUAGCACUAAAACGUAAUCUUCAACUCAUUAUCAUUCACAUUCACAUUCAAAUAUCCACUAAAACGUAUUAUAAGCUAACCAAUUACAAAUAUAAGCUAAUGUUCUAUAAAUGUUAAACAAUAUAAUUUACAAUAGUUGUACAGACGCAAUUAGACAAUACAAUAUAUACAAAAGUUCUACAAUAUCAUGAAUAUAUACAAAUGAACUAUAAACUAGUAAAAGUAUCAUCAUCGGGCGGAGGUGAACGACGCUGCUCUGGUGUAUGGAAAUAAGCCUCGUGCUCCUGCUCAUCAUCGCCAGCCUGCUCACCAUCGCCACCCUGUUGAUAGAAUCAAAAAUAUAAAUCAUUAGUCCGUAUAUAUAUAUAUAUAUAUGUGUGUGUGUGUGAGAAUUAACAAACUAGCCUUAAUUGAAAAACAUAAACAAUAAGAAUACCUGAGUAGGUGGGGGCGGACAAAAAGCCUCCUCCAAGAGGGUAAUCACCAUCCAGAGCAUCUCGGCGCUCCAAGCGUCGAACUGCUCCCGAGGUAAUCCCGUACUCUCUGUAGAGGCCCCUGCUAUCCUGAGCAAUCUGGUGAAGACGAGAACUGGAAGGCAACUGCUGACGCCGAAAGACCGGAUCGGUAUUGAACCUAUCCGACACGGCCCCUAUUAGCCGUCGGAAGAUAUCGUCAUCCAAGCCAGCGCCCAUAUGAGAUGGUCCGACAUGUGCUCUCGGACGCUGGCGCUGGCUGGAGCCUAUAAAGAGAUACAAAUUCGAUUACUAAUAAUAAUUUAUAUAAUGUGAUAAAUUCAGAUAAUUUCGUGAAACAUAAAAAAAUAUUUACCUCCAGGAAGUGUAUAUGCGGGUAUCCUCGGCAGACCUCACACUCGAUAUCUGCCGGUACUGCUAGUAGGGGGAUCCUGAGACAUGACCCAUAGUCUCAACUCCUCAUCCCGAUCUAAUACAAUAUCGGGAAGAGGGGUGGCGAAAUCUAACGGCUCAGAACCCCUCCUAAUAGUCUCUAGCUCAGUUAUACGCUCGUCCCGAAGCUUCUAAAAUUGGUACUAUAAUGUAUUCCGUAUACGUAUAUUAAUUAUAUCAUUUUAUUUACGAUUGAAUAUUAUUAAAAGCUAAAUAGUAAGAUGCAUUUUACCCGUAUAGCUAAAGCUUCCUGAGACAAAGCACGCUCGUCCUUAGGCGUGUGGGCUCGAUCCCAAAACUCUAGCAUGGUAGGAUCUCGGCCCAAGGUCCUCCCUAAUGCCUAAUACAAACAUUCAUAAAACAGGUCUUAAGUAUUUGUGUGAGAACUUGACACAUAAAUAACUAAAUACAACGCACUUACCGUCUUCGCCUCCUCGAACGACUGAGAACCAGUGGUGUGUACUAUCCGGAGCUGACCACAGUUCUUCUUCGCCUGCUCGGACUUUUUCUUGAAGUCAUCAGCCUCCCAGUGCGUACACAUAGCCACCUAGCUAAAUCGGAGACUAUGCGGGGCUGAUGAUCUCUGAUGGUGGUCCCGGGCUGGUCUAUAACUGCUCGGGCUGCCUUCUGUCGUAUCUCAUACAGCCAUCCAGAGUAAUUCGCAGCUACGUGAUGCUCAAUCAUAGCAUCGCCAGCUGACUGAGAGAUAUUCGGGUCAAAUCGAUAAUAAACCUAUAACAAAAGAUUAUUUAAAAUUAAGAACAAUUGAUUUCGUCAUCCCAAUACAACUAUGUGGUGAUAAUAUGCUUAACUUACGUGGAACUUCCGCAAGACGGUCUGCAUAAAAGUGGUAUCGUACCACGCAUACUGACUGAACCGCAUGCACCCUCUCGGGAGAUGUGUCAAAUAAAUCGCGUGUAGGGUGUUCUUAGCCACCGGGUCUAGUAUACUACAGAAAAAGUAUAACAAUAUGUGUUAUGUGAAUUGUGUUUUGCAAUAAAUGAUAGAAAUAGUACGAAUAUAGUAACACUUACUGUUGGGAAAUGACAUCCACUGGUACUGUAAGUGGCACUGCCGGCGGACGACCAAAGAUACCGAGGUUCGUCCUUCGGUGUCGUUGACGAGGUGCAUCUGUACAAUGACGAACUGAAAGUGUGCCCCAAUACGGCAACUCAAACCAUAUAGGCAAGUGUGUCCAAUUAUGAGUCUUCCUGUACCCAGCUGCUCUCAAUUUAAUGUGUUCCUUCCCCGGCAAAGAAAAAUCAAGUUGAUUCAACCAGCCCAAGACCUCACUGCCCAACAGCCGACCAACAACCCCCUUCUUCUCUAUCUUUCUGUUGAACUGUGCAGACAUCUUUCUGUAAUUGUGAUCAAGAGGCAAGAAUCUACGAGCAGUUCCAAAGAAACUACAUUUUCGCCCAUACUGCAACUGGUUGCCUUGCACAUCCCCCAUACACACUGGACAUGACAGCUUCCCGUGAGUUGACCAACCACUAACCAUCCCAAGAGCCAGAAAGUCAGUGAUAGUCCAUAACAGGGUUGCCUUCAUCACAAAAUUCCCACAUAUCGAUUUAUCAUACGUCUGAACCCCUGUCUCCCACAACAUCUUUAGUUAAUCCACUAACGGUCGAAGGUACACAUUAAGGCCUUUUGUAGGACUUUUAUCCCCCGAAAUGAGUAAAGUCAAAAACAAAUACGGAUCCCUUAUGCACAUUGCCGAUGGAAGAUUAUAAGCGACCAUAAUGACUGGCCACACUGAGUACGACUGGCUAAAAUUAUUAAAAGAGCAAAAGCCAUCAGUAGCCAUGCCAAGCCUAACAUUCCUAACUUCUUCCGCAAACUCAGGAUAAUUUACAUCAAAUCUCUUCCAUUUAUCUCUAUCCGCUGGGUGAGUCAGCUGACCAGGCACGACAUCCCUUGUUCGAUGCCAACUCAUAUGUUGCGUCGUAUGAGACGACAUGAAUAUCCGCUGAAGUCUCGGCGCAAGUGGAAAGUACCGUAAGAUUUUCCUGGGAACCUGUUUCACCUUCCCCCCACUUUUUAUAACCUUGUAGCGCGAUAAGCUGCAUAUAUCACACUGUCCCUUAUCUCUGUCCUCCCCAUAGUAUAACAUACAAUCCUGCUCACAGGCAUCGAUUUUCUGAUACCCCAUAUUUAACCCCUUGACCAUCUUCUUCACUUCGUAAUAAUUCGCAGGAAGAGUAUGAUCCUUGGGUAAGAACUGUCCAAUUAUAGCGAGCAAAUCGUUGAAACCUCUCUCAUUACAGUCGUGCUCAUUCUUGAAGUGUAAGAGCUUCGUCACUGCAGAAAGCUUGGUGUCCGUAUCAUUUCCCGAUUACAACGCGACCCAGAUUCAGGUAUCAACUGGUAAAAGGCAGAAGCUGUAUCAUUUGGCACUUGGUUCGCACUACUUGAAGAAGGUUCAUAUUCAGCCCAGUCAAUAGUAGUAGGGCCAUAAGCAUCGGCCAACAUCUCAACUGGAUCAUAAUGUUCGACAUAUGAAUCCCGUGGAAUUGGUUGUUCCACAAUAUUUUCAACCACUUCUGAUUCCCCGUGAUGAGUCCAUACAAAGUACCCAUCCACAAAUCUACGAGAAAAUAAGUUGAAUUUAAUCUCGUCGACUUUCUUCCAAAUCAGAUUUUUACACUUGACACACGGGGAUCGCAUCUUCCCGUUCGGAUCAUCCGUAUGUUCUAGUGCUUUGUUCAAGAAAUCUAAAACCCCAACACGAUAAGCUGAGACUAAUCCCCUCCCAUCACUAGGGAUCCUACGGUACAUCCAACUCUGGUCGGCUGGCAUUUUUAACUACACAGAAGUACGCAUUAAGUUAAUUUGGAUAUUCAUGUGUGAAUUAGAUUUACCUAGUAUCUCUACAGGACAGGGGUAAGGCUUCUAUCCCGUUAUUGGAUGCGUCUCGUCACUAGUGCAAACACGUUGAGUACGUUUCAUGAGUUUCAAGAAAAUUUUGGCAGCACCUCCCCAUGGUCUCCAAGUACACGAAAUAGACUAAGAUAACUUAAUCUAAGUAUGCACUCGGAGAACAUAUAGAGAUAACAGUCGAUUAAUCCUCAAAAUAACAACAAAUGUACCGUUUUGUAUUUGCACCGGCCUAAGUGAGAGACAUAACAUCCAAUAACAGUCCCAAACUGAGAAUUGUUCGACAUUCACCCCUACUGAGUGUAUGUCAAACGGGUUUCUAAGUUUCAAAGUAUAGUACAUAUAUAAUUGAAAAUGCUACUUAGUUUAUUGAAAAUUAUGGCAAACUACACAAAUGCUACUUAGUUUAUGAGAAUUGUUAUGUGGAAUCUCUACUUGAGUCGGCAACCGGGAAAAAAAAAGGGUCGUAGUUCCUGUUGUGUCCUAUACUCGAAUAAUAAAGUUAAUUCAAUUACUGCAAACAUUCCUCACUGUUCCAUCAUAACAGAUGACAACAUCCCGAAGGAGUUCCAUUAAGCUAUUGAACAAAGUUUCAGCUUAAGCAACCCUCUAGAUGAACGAACGAUCACUUCUCUGCUAGGAAUGAAUCAUCUCCCCAUAUGGGUCCAAUCCAUGAUAUAGACAGCUUCUCACCACUCCGAAUUCCUCAAAUGGAUAGUUCUCAUACAAAAGGUGAGACGUUCUGUGAGAACUACCCAUCUGAGGAAUUCGGAGUGGUGAGAAGCUGUUUAUAUCAUGGAUUGGACCCAUAUGGGGAGAUGAUUCAAUCCUAUGAGAGAAGUGAUCGUUCGCUCAUUUAGAGGGUUGCUUAACCUAGAACUUUGUUCAACAACUUACUGGCACUCCUUCCGGAUGUUGCCAUCUAUUAUGAUGGAACAGUGAGGAAUGUCUGCAGUAAUUCAAUUACCUUUAUUAUUCGAGUAUAGGACACAAACAGGAACUACGACCCCUUUUUUUUUAAUUGUUGCCGAGGAACCACUUGGAGUACUAUUAGCUACAACUGCUAUGUCGAAACCUGCAUACAAGAAAGAGUACAUAUAUGUAGGGAGAGUAUUAUUGCAUUUAUUGAAAAUUGUAGCAAACUAAGCAAAUGCUACUUAGUUUAUUUUGCCAACGAUAAACUAAGUAAGUGGUACUUAGUUUAUGAGAAUUGUUAUUUGGGAUCUAUAGAGACUACUGUUCGACAUUCACUUCUAGCUACUUAGUUUAUUUUGCCAAUGAUGAUAAACUAAGUAAGUGGUACUUAGUUUAUGAAAAUUGUUAUUUGGAAUCUAUAGCUAGAGACUACUGUUCGACAUUCACUCAUACUUAGUUUAUUAUUAUAUUUUUUUAUUUUAAUUUGUAGUAUAUUAUAUAAUUGGCUUAUUUAUUUAUUAAAUUUACUUUAUUAAAUUAAAUCAUUUUAUUUUAUUUAUUAAACUAAAUUAAAUUAAAUUUUUUAUUACUUCCUUUUUUAUUUUGUAUUAUAUUAUAUAAGUUCUAAUUUAAUUUGAUUUCAUAAUUAAAAUUAUUUUAUUUUAUUUUAUCUUGUAUUAUAUUAUAUAAUUUUUAAUGUUUUUAUUAAAUUAAAUUAAAUUAAAUUAAUUAAAUUUAGAUUAUUUAAAUUAAAUUAAAUAUUUUAUUAUUUUUAUUUAAUUUAAUUUAAUUUAAUUUUUAUUUUAUUUUAUUUUUUAAAUUAAAUCAAAGUUUUUUUAUUUUAUUUAAAUUAAAUUAAUUUAUUAUUUUAUUUUAUUUUACUCUAUUUUGUAUUAUAUUAUGUUAUUUAUUUUAUUUUAUUUUAGUAGUAAGAAACUAAGUAAAUGGUACUUAGUUUAUGAUUUAUUAAUAUUGGAAAAGUAAUUACUAAUACAAUACAUGUAGGGCCCACAAAUAUUCUGUAAUUUCAUAAUUCUAACAGAAUUUCUGUCAUAAAUUCAGUUGGAAAUAGCAAAUAUAUCAAGAUUAAAAACAGUCCUAAAAUCAGUUACAUUAUGAUAAGGAACCUAAAUUUGAUAUGUUAUACACUUCAUAAUAUCAAUAUUCUGCAAUUUUCAAAUUCCAAAUAAUAUGCAGUUAAAUAAUAUGCAGUCCACAAACCCAAAAUCAAAUUUUCAAUUUCAGCAAUCAGCAAUAUAAACAAGAAGAAUAGGACCCAAAUUUCAGAUUUCAGAUCACUCCCAAUUCCAACAAAUGGACCCAAAUUUUCAACCCACAAAUUCACAGCAACAACAUAUUAUCCAAAUUGGGUUAAUCUCAUAUUCAAACUCAAACUAAACCUAAAACAAAUUAAGCCACAAAUUUCACAAUUUGCAACAAAUUAACCCUAAAAAUCUAAUACUUGACAGAAAACUAACCUUGAAAUUGAAUUAAUGUGCAAACUAACCGACGGUGGUGCUUGAUGUUGACGGUGGUGCCUGGUGGUGGUGACGGUGGUGCCUCGUGUUGGUGGCGUCUACUGGUGGUGGAACCGCUCGACAGUGAUGGUGGUGGUGGCAGUACGUCGUGGUGGUAGUGGCAGUACGUGGUGUUAGUGGAAUCGAAGGUGGUGGUGGUGGCAGUACGUGGUGGUGGUGGAGAUGAGAGAAGUGAGAGAAGUGAGACUGAGAGAGAAUACGUGUGAGAGAUAUCGCGAAGUGAGAGAGAAAUGAGAGAUCAGAGAAAGAGAGAAAUAUGAGAUCUGAAAAGUGAGAGAAACAAGGGGAUCGGAAGACGUAAGGUUUUAGGCUUAUUUUCGACGGACUGCCCAUCGUACUUAAUGUCGUCGUAAUUACUGUAUCUUCGACUGACUAGUCCGUCGGAAUAACCACUAUUCAGUCGAACAUAAGGUUCGUGCUGAUGGGAACAUUGGCGCCAAUGGGAUACAUAUAUUUUCGACGAACAUCCGUCGAGAUUAAAGUAGUUUCGACUUAUUUAUCUUCGACUGAAUAAUCCGUCGGAACACAUAUUAUCUUCGAGGGAAUGUGUCCGUCGAAUGUAGUUCCAUCGGAAUUAGCCAGUUUUCUUGUAGUGAUAGAACUUUCACUCAAUGUCCUUACCAAAAAGGCUAAAGACACUCAAUAAUCAUAUCGUCUUUACACCCUACACCAGAGAUAUUCAAAUGUAACAACAAUGAUUAUGAUCAUACCAAUCAAUUGUCUAUUUUGCACUACGGGCCAUAGAUAUUCAACUGUAAUAUCAAUGGUCAUGAUCAUACCAAUCAAUUGUCUAUCUUUGCACUACGGGUCAAAGAUGUUCAACUGUAAAUCCAAUAAUCAAUAGUCCAUCUUUGCAUUACGGGCCAAAGACAUACAACUGUAAAAUCAAUAAUCAACAGUCCAUCUUUGCACUACGGCCCAAAGACAUACAACUAUAAAACCAAUAAUCAACAAUUCAUCUUUGCACUACGGGUCAAACAUAUACAACUGUAAAACCAGUAAUCAACAGUCCAUCUUUGCACUACGGGCCAAAGACAUACAACUGUAAAAUCAAUAAUCAACAGUUCAUCUUUGCACUACGGGCUAAAGACAUACAACUGUAACACAAAUGGUCAUAAUCAUGCCAAACACAUGUUCAUCUAUGCACUACGGGUCAAAGAGGACUUUCAUCACAAACCUUUAUCUUUAACAUUAAAAGUUAAUAUUAUACCAAUACACAAUUCCUCGUCAUAAUCAUACCAAUCAACAGUUCAUUUUUGCACUACGGGCCAAAUAUGUCUUUCAACACAAUAUAAGCAUGAGGAUGAUGACAAUGACAUAAAGAAUGAAUCAAGUGAGAUCAAGGAUAAUUAUUAAAGAUUUAUAAUUCAAUUUAUCCAGAGUUAAAAAAUGUCCAAAUUAUCAACAUGAUAAUUAAUUGUGGAGUAAAAUUUAAGAAUGAUAUUCAUGCAUUAAAAAUAAUUUGGACAGAAAAGAAACUAAUGUUAUCGUGAAUAGUACCCCAAAUAAAAAUAUUAAAAUUUAAUAAGACAGUUCAGACAAAUAUUUUGGUGAAACGAUACUAGAUGAAUCGUAUAACUAAAGGAUAUUCUACUAAUUUUAGAAAUUUUCUCCAUUUAAUAAAAAAGUUAUGGAAACAAACAAUAAUUUCAUAAUAUAAAUGGAGAAAAUAUGAAAGAAAACGAUAUCCGUUGAUGAGUACAAAAGAAAUGAUAUUUCAUACGAGUAUGAAAGAAUAUACGAAACUGCAGUAAUCCGCGUAGACAGAUCAUUUUCAUAACUUAAUAAAGAAUGAAUACGAAGGGUUAUUCACCAGGCAUGUGGUAAUCCGCGUAGACAGAUUUUUCUCACAUAAUAAUAAGAAAUAGAAUGACAACUUUAUGAGUAUGAAAAUAACAUCCUUUACCGUAAUAGGAGACUAAAUCUGACUGAAAUAACGGAGAUUGUCUUGAGAAAAUCUUGCUCUAUUUGCUACACUCAAAAUAUCCUUAUACUAAAAAGAAAUACGCACAAUAUUAUAGAAGAAAAAUUCUCUGAUUCUGGUGUGAUUUUCAUUUCUUAACUAAGCAACCUAUGUAAGACCCAACUUAUUAUAAAUGAAAUUAAAUUUUCUCUAUUUAUUAUUUUGAAAUAGUAAGGGUUGAUUUGAUUAAUGUGGUUAGUUAUGGGUAAAAUGCGCAAAUAUAAUAAAGAAUGGAAUAACAACAGAAAUCACCAUGCAUGCGGUACUUCGCAUAGACAGGUUAUUCCAACAGAAUAAUAAAUAACGGAACCACGUCAGGCGUAAUACGCACCGACAGGAUAUUCCAACAGAAUAAUAAAGAAUGGAAUAACAGCAGAAAUCACCAUGCAUGCGGUAAUUCGCAUAGACAGGUUAUUCCAACAGAAUAAUAAAUAACGGAACCACGUCAGGCGUAAUACGCACCGACAGGAUAUUCCAACAGAAUAAUAAAGAAUGGAAUAACAGCAGAAAUCACCAUGCAUGCGGUAAUUCGCAUAGACAGGUUAUUCCAACAGAAUAAUAAAUAACGGAACCACGUCAGGCGUAAUACGCACCGACAGGAUAUUCCAACAGAAUAAUAAAGAAUGGAAUAACAGAAGAAUUUCAUCAUGUAUGCGGUACUUCGCACAGACAGGUUAUUCCAACAUAAUGAUAAAGAAUGGAAUAACAGAAGAAUUUCACCAAGUAUAGGGUAGACCGCGUAUACAGGUUAUUCCAACAGAAUAAUAAAGAUUGGAAUAACAGAAGUUCUCUUCAUGAAUACAAAAGAAAUAAUACCCCUUACCUUAUAGAAGAAACUGGAUAUAGAAGUAGUGAAGUAGCAGAAUACUUUUCUUCUUUCUCUCUAUAGUUUCUCUUUCUAAAGUUUCAGUGACUUCGUAAGAAAUAAUGAAUGAAUGAGCUUCUAUUUAUAGAAGAAUGAAUUGCAUAGUAACUAAUUCAUGAACGGUCCAGAUUGAUUUACUUUUAAUCGGAUGGUCCAGAUUUAAAACAAAAUCUUUUAAAUAAAAUAUAAUAUAUUCUAUUUAUAAUCUAAUAAAAUGAAUAACUUUAUAAAAGUAUUCUGUUUUAUAUAAAAAGAUUUUACUAUGCAAAACACUAUGCAGGCACUAUGCAACACUAUGCAUAAUAAAAUAUAAUAUAUUCUAUUUAUAGAAUAACUUUAUAAAAGUAUUCUGUUUUAUAUAAAAAAAAUUUACUAUGCAAAAUACUAUGCAUAAUAGAAUAUAAUAUAUUCUAUUUAUAGAAUAACUUUAUAAAAUAUUCUGUUUUAUAUAAAAACUUUUCUAUUUUAUUACACUAAUAAUACUAAUAAAACAAAACUUAUAUAUAUAAUAUAAGAAUUGACAAUAAUUGAAUCAAAUAACGUGAGAUACUAUGCAACAAUUACUGUAGCAAUAAUUGAACAAAACUGAGUGUUUUCUCACGUAAACAUCAAUAAUCAAUACUGCGUGCUACUAUGCAACCACGCGUAUUUUUGUAUUUUUACUACCGAAUAGUUUAACAGUAUUAACGGUAAAACUUCCAUCGUUAUUUUCAUAAAAAUAUUUUUGUCGUUUUCUCAAUCCGACAAUAAUUCCGUUGUGGGGUCCACCAAUGAUUGUGCCGUCGUACGAAUAUUCCCCGACCAAUCGAAUAUAAUAUAACAACUUGCAUACUUUGCAAAAUUUAUAAAUAUUACCCACAACUAUAAUAUUAUAUUAAAUCCACACCAUAAUAUUCAAAAAAAAAUUCGAGAAACUUAAAUCUUUAUUCGUAAAAUUUGGGAUUUUACAUAUACCUAUUUUGGGGGCGUCACAGUUGGUAUCAGAGCUUAGGGAUAUGAUCUCUGGCGGAGAUCGGGGAAUAGAACUAGGAGGGGAGAGACGAGUAAAUCCUUCGCUAGUGUGUCCUACCUAAGCUUAUUUGUUGGUUGGUCAGAAUAUAGGGAUAUUAUGUGAUAUGUUAAUUUAUUCAAUUAACCCUUGUUUUAUGGCAGUAUUUGAGAAUGGCGACUGAGAAUAUUAACAGUGGAGUAAAUGAGACCGUGGAGACACCUUUACUCACCAAUGAGGAGAACGUGCAACAUGCAGACAAUGUUCCUCCUGUAAACAACACCACUGAGCAGACGAUGAACGAUGGAAUAUUUAGAAGCUUUUUGCAGUUCAUGCAAAAUCAGACGAAGGAGACUCGUGUAUAAAAUACAGGUGGAAAUGAUAGCAACGCACGAUUUAUCACAGCCAAACAGUUCAAAGAGUUGGGACCACCAGAAUUCUGGGGAAAGCCGGAUCCGAUUAAGGCGGAGAUGUGGGUCAAGCAAAUUACCAAGAUAUUCGAUGUCUUGGGAUGCACAGAGGAACAGAAGGUUCCAUUCGCCACUUUUAUGUUCCGUAAUGAGGCAGAUUACUGGUGGGAAUCUGUGAAGCGUACCCAUCCAGCCGCACUCAGCAUGUCUUGGGAAACGUUUCAAAAACUGUUCAAUGACAAGUACUUUCCUGAAAGUAUUCGUCAUAUGAAGGAAGUGGAGUUUAUUAGACUAGAACAAAACAACAUGAUGGUGUUCCAAUACGAGGCGAAGUUUGCAGAGUUAUCCAGGUUUGCACCUCAUUUGGUGGAGAAUGAGGAACGUAUGACGCGGAUAUUUCUGAGAGGUUUGAAACCCGGCAUACGUCAAUAUCUCAUUUCUCAUAAAUUUUCCCUUUAUUCAGAUGUUGUCAACAGGGCCCAAUUAUUAGAGUGAGAUAAUGCGUACGUUCAACUGAAGGACCACAACCAGGGUCAUACCGGUGACAGCAGUCAUCGGAGCAACGAUAACCAGCGGGGAAAGAAAAAUGCGGACAAGAGCGGCAACCACUCUGGUGGUAAUCAUGGCCAUGAAAAUAGAAGAAGCGAGUCGGGGGGAGAUUUUAAAAAGAGGAGAUUCAACAAUGACAAUGCGAAGACGUCAGCAUCAGCAGCAACUGGUUCUAAAGGAGGAGAACGACCACUGGUCGUAUGCUAUAAAUGUGGAAAAGAGGGACAUAUCAGCCCAAACUGCCCACAACAGUUCAAGGUAUGUUAUAAUUGUGGAAAGGAAGGACAUAUCGCUCGAGAUUGUACUGUAGCGAAACCAAGUCCAGCGGGGAUGGUGACUCAAAAGGCUGUCCCAGAAAAGUCAAAGUCAACGGUUCCUGGAAGAGCGUUUGUUGUGACUGCUCAAAAUGUGAGGAACCUAAACGAGGUGAUCACGGGUAAGCUAAUCAUAAAUUCUUGCAAAAUCUAUACCUUAUUAGAUACCGGUUCUACCAAUUCAUUUAUCUCUCUUGCUUGCGCUCAACGUUUAAACUUGACUCCGGAGAAAUUGGACUUUGACUUAUCUGUGGAGACUCCGUUAGGAGAAACUUUUAUUACAUCCACUGUUUAUAAAUCUUGUUUGAUCCAAGUUGGCACCAUCACAUUACCUGUUGAUCUUAUCUCUUUAAAGAUACUUGCUUUUGAUGUGAUUUUAGGGAUUGAUUGGUUAACUACUCAUCAUGCCAAAAUUGAUUGUUUUCGUAAGGUUGUUAGUUUUCAUAUUCCUAACCAACCUGUUAUGCAAAUUCAAGCAACUAAACCACUAAAAUCAAUCACUGUCAUAUCAAGUCAUAAAGCUAUUCGUGUGAUGCCCCCAAAAUAGGUAUACAUCACCCAUCUUGGGUCGCCAGAAAAUACACUACUUACAACUCUAUUUAUACAACUGUCGUGCAAAAUACGACGACUCAUAUACUGUGAGUUUCAAUACAAAUAUUGUUACGUAUAUAAUACGACAAUAUUCAUAUUUAAAUUAUUACAAUGCCAUAUAAAGUACAAAAGCAAUUAUAUCAAGUCCCCGAAGGGACAUGAGAAGAUUUAUGUUCUCCUCAUUCUAAUGGAGUGCACCUUUGACGCUUCCAAAUUCUGAUUCGCCUCACCCUAUUGUUGUUCACCAAAAUUAAAUAUCAAAUGAUGUAUAAAACAUGUCACACAAAUUUUAAGUUCUCAGUACAAUUAUUAUGCCACACCAUUUCAUAAUUUGAUUAGGCUUGUGACUAAUUCGUAUCACCACCUUAUACCCAUGUUCUCUUUGCUAGUCCCAGCUACACUUUUAUUACCUGAAAGGGGUGGUGAAGAAAAAGGGUGAGCACAAAUAGCCCAGUAAAGAAUAUCAUGACUUAAGAUAAUUAAAUUAUCAAUAGCCUUCAUCAAUAAUAAUUCAGAUAUUUAGAACAUAUGGUAGAAGAUAAAAGUUUCCAACCAUAAUAGCAGCGGAAUCAACAAUCCAUUAGAAGAAUCAAGUAGAACAUAAUGUCUACUAUCUUCCCUAGAUUAAAAUUUCAUCGUUAAUAUUUCAUUCCUGUAAUACUCAUCAACAGUUCUUGGUUAUACCCAAGACAAAGAGAACUCUCAUCACCUGUCUUCACCUGAACCACCACAGAUUAUAAUUAAAUCACAAUUCAUAUUUAUAAUCAAGUAAAUCAACAGUCCAACUUUGCACUACAUGCCAAAGAUAUACAACUGUAAAACCAAUAAUGCUGAGACUCGGCUUAAUAGUAUCAUGACCACGAAUUAUCCAUGCACUACGAGCCAAGGAUAUUCGUAUUUUCAAUUACGGUCAUGAUUAUACCGAAUAAUCCUUGGUCAUAAUCAUACCAAGUCCAUCUAUGCACUAUGGCCAAAGAUGACUUUUACCACAUCAUUUGUAACAUUACGGUCAUGAUUAUACCGACUAAUCUCUAGUCAUAAUUAUACCAAGUCCAUCUAUGCACUACUGUCCAUAAAUGACUUUCAACACAAUACAAGCAUGAGAAUGAUGACAAUGAUAUAUAUAAUGAAUAAACAUAAAUCAUAAUAAUAAUAAGAUAACAUAGAUCUUAGUGAUUUUCAACUUAAUUAUCCAGAGUCCAAAUUGAUAACAUAAUAAUAGAUGAAUCACAAACUAUUAAGGAUAUUCUAAUCCUUUCAGGACUUUUCACCAUUUAAUGAUAAACUGAAUAAACGAAUAAUAAUAUCUUACCAUAAUAUGGAGUAUGAAAGAAAAUGAUAUUCCUUUUACCAUAAAAAUGAUACCCUCUUACCACAAUAAUGAUAUCCCUUACCUUAGCAUGUGACUUGAUUCUGCUUUCUGUGAAAUUGAUCAACUUAAACAAUGCUUGCAUUCCUUAUCUACACUUGGAGUAACAUUACACUCAAUAGAAAUACUCACAAUAUUGAAGUAAAAGAAUUCUAUAUUUUUAGUGUAGUGAUGGUGUGUGUUUAGUUACUCAACCGAGCAACCUAUUUAUACUAAAAAUUUAGUAAACAACUAGCACACCUGCUUUGACAAAUUAACCAAAUGAGGUAUAUAAAAAUGGUAGUAGAAUUUAUGGUCCCACAGAGAAAAUUAAACCAACUUGUACAUGUUUUAAUAAAAUUUGUUCGAUAAUAGAGUUGUGGUCCAUACUACUUUAGUAAAAGUAGAGUGUCGGCAAGUCCUGCUAAACUUUCUUUUGUAAAAAAGAAAAUAAUUGAGCAACCAUCUGUAUAUCAUACUUAUCUUUAAUCAACACCCUUUUCAAUCUUUGAACCAUUAUUCACAAUUAUUAACAUAGACUCUCAAUACUGCCAACUAGUUUAAUUAUAUCAUAUCAAAUAAUAUGAGUCACUGUGCAAUAACUACUGUGGCAAUUAUUGAAUAAAAGACUGAGUGACUUCUUACAUAAUUAAGAAUCAAUAAUAUGAAUCAUUGUGUAAUAACUACUGUGACGAUUAUUGAAUGAAAUACAUAGUGACUUCUUAUGUAAGAAUCAAAUUAAUACCUUACUUAUAAACAAUUCAAAUUCUAUUAAAGUAAGGAUCAACAUCAAAUCAUAAUUAUCUCGAAUAACAUAUACACCAAAUAAUAAUUCAUUGUUCAUUUAAGUUGUCUUUAUUUAUCGUAUAAUAUCAUUAUAUUUAAUAAUGUUCAUGUUUUACAACUUAGAACAACAUUCUUUAUCGUCAAAAACAUUACACGUUGCACAUGCAUGCCCGACGUCCUCUGAUUGCCUCUGAAUGCACAUCAGUCCCUAAAAUAGCCAUUUUAUGCCUUGAUACCGAACUUAAAUCUAAAAACAUAAAGAAUGAAAGUUUUAGGUCUACUCGUUAUCUUUCCGAAUCAUCCUGAAUCACCUCAAUCGGAGUUCGUAUGAAAAAAGUAAUGCCCAAUUUACUAAAGGACGUCCGAACAGAUUUUGGCUUAAGACUAGACCAGCGCCUAGGCGCCCAAAUUUGGCCUUGGGCAUGUGCCUAGGCGCCCAAGAACAGAUUCUAAGCGCUGAGCCUAGUGCCUAGGCUCUCGACCCUUGGCACUUAACUCCAAUUUUUUAAAUUUUGCAACUUUUGACACACAUACUUCAAAUCUUCAUAACUUCUUCAUCCAUUAUUGGAAUUAGUCCGUUUUUAAGGCUAUGGAAACCUUGUAACAUGCUCUACAAAACCCCCAUGAUUUCAUAAAUUUUCAGAUUCAUUAAUUAUUCUGAAAUUUGGCUCCAAAGUCCCCCAAGACUAAGUUUUUCAUCGUUUAACAUGUUUUACAAAAACUUUCAUCACAACUUCAAUUUAAAUCAUUUUUAGUUCUUUCAAAUUAGAAUAUUUCCAUAACUUCUUAAUCUAUAGAUCCUCCUCCUCAUAUUUUACACAUAAAUCAACCAUCAACACUUUUACAAGUUUGAUUUAAGUCCUCAACAUAACUUUUGUUCAUCCUCAAACAUAUGCCCAACUUUUUGAUCUUAAAUUCUAUUAUGACAUGGAUUAAACAUAAAAUCUUUAUCAUAUACUUCCUUAUUACUUUGGAUCCAUCAUGAUCCCCUAUAACCCAACUUUCAACAAAUCAAACUUUUAGGAAAAUUAAAGAGAUAAAAAGUUUUGGUUUUACCUUUUGAGUUCUUAUUCUUCCUUCAUGCUUCCAUGGUUUCCUCUUCUUCUUUCUUCCUUUCUUCCCUUCGUUCUCUUCUCUCUUUUCUCUCUUUUCUUUUGCUGAAGAUUGGCUACGGAAGGAUGCUCCUGCGGCUUUCAUGGAUAUGAUGAACUGAGUAUUCAAGGAAUAUUUGGAUCAAUUCGUUGUGGUCUUUAUUGAUGACAUCCUCAUAUAUUCCAAAAGUCGUGAAGAUCAUGAGCACCAUUUGAAGCUGGUACUCCAAAGGCUUCGUGAAAACAAGUUGUAUGCCAAGUUGAAAAAAUGCGAGUUCUGGCUUGAGGAAGUAGCAUUCCUUGGGCACGUAGUGUCAAAAUAUGGAGUAUCUGUUGACCCGACGAAGAUUGAAGCAAUACAAAGUUGGGAGCAACCGAAGACGGUGACCGAAGUACGUAGCUUUCUGGGCUUAGCUGGUUAUUAUCGGAGAUUCGUGGAAGGGUUUUCUCGAAUCGCUACUCCGUUAACUCAGUUGACUCGGAAGGAUACAAAAUUCAUAUGGAGCGAGGAAUGCGAAAAGAGUUUUCAAGAUCUCAAGAGGAUACUCAUUUCGGCACCUGUUCUGACAAUACCAUCUGAUUCAGAUGGAUUUGUUAUCUACAGCGAUGUUUCAGGCAAAGGGUUAUGAUGUGUUCUCAUGCAACAUGGGAAAGUCAUAGCCUAUGCCUCGCGACAACUUAAAGAAUAUGAGAGAAAUUAUCCUAUUCAUGAUCUAGAGUUAGCAGCAGUCGUUUUCGCGCUAAAGAUCUGGAGGCACUAUCUAUAUGGGGAGAAAGUGGAUAUAUAUUCCGAUCAUAAAAGCCUCAAAUAUUUCUUCACCCAAAAGGAACUCAACAUGCGGCAACGACAUUGGCUCGAGCUGUUGAAAGAUUACGACCACACCAUUCAAUACCAUCCUGGAAAAGCGAACGUGGUAGCUGACGCGUUGAGUAGAAGAUCAUAUGCGGGAACGAGUGCGAUGUUGUCAACACAAAGGCCCAUUUUGUGUGAUUUACAAAAGAUGAAGAUAGAAUUCAAGACUCCGGGGACCCAUGCNNNNNNNNNNNNNNNNNNNNNNNNNNNNNNNNNNNNNNNNNNNNNNNNNNNNNNNNNNNNNNNNNNNNNNNNNNNNNNNNNNNNNNNNNNNNNNNNNNNNNNNNNNNNNNNNNNNNNNNNNNNNNNNNNNNNNNNNNNNNNNNNNNNNNNNNNNNNNNNNNNNNNNNNNNNNNNNNNNNNNNNNNNNNNNNNNNNNNNNNNNNNNNNNNNNNNNNNNNNNNNNNNNNNNNNNNNNNNNNNNNNNNNNNNNNNNNNNNNNNNNNNNNNNNNNNNNNNNNNNNNNNNNNNNNNNNNNNNNNNNNNNNNNNNNNNNNNNNNNNNNNNNNNNNNNNNNNNNNNNNNNNNNNNNNNNNNNNNNNNNNNNNNNNNNNNNNNNNNNNNNNNNNNNNNNNNNNNNNNNNNNNNNNNNNNNNNNNNNNNNNNNNNNUAACGACUCUGAUUUGAAGAACAAGAUCAUGAUGGAGGCACACAAUACACCGUUUGCAAUCCAUCCUGGAAGUACCAAAAUGUAUCGUGAUCUUCGACAUACAUUUUGGUGGAACAAUAUGAAGAGAGAGAUCGCGAAGUUUAUCUUGAGGUGUUUAACUUGUCAAAGUGUAAAGGCAGAGCAUCAAGUGCCAAAGGGUCCAUUGCAACCACUUGAGAUUCUGAAAUGGAAGUGGGAACACAUUACCAUGGAUUUCAUUACGGGUCUUCCCACGGUUUCUCAACUCAUAAAUGCUAUUUGGGUUAUUGUUGAUAUAUUAACCAAGUCUGCUCAUUUCUUGCCGAUACGGGAGACUUAUUCCCUUGAACAUCUUGCUCGUAUAUACAUAAAUGAGAUUGUGAGAUUGCAUGGCAUGCCAGUAUCCAUAGUUUUGGAUCGAGACCCAAGAUUCACUUCACGAUUUUGGGUUAGCUUGCAAAAAGCUAUGGGCACCGAUUUACGAUUCAGUUCGGCAUAUCAUCCUCAAACGGACGGACAAUCAGAGAGGACUAUUUAAACUCUUGAAGAUCUAUGUUGGGAUGAGGUGGGUGAAGCAACAUUGUUGGGAUCAGAGUUGGUACGUAUGACUAUGGAAAAGAUCCAAACGAUUCGACAACAUAUAUAAAUGGCACAUGAUCGACAAAAGAGUUAUGCGGAUCUUUAUCGAAAGGACGUGGAAUUUAGUAUUGGGGAUCAUGUAUUGUUGCGAGUUUCUCCAUGGAAGGGAGUUAUAAGAUUUGGGAAGAGAGGAAAGCUCAAUCCACGAUUUAUCGGUCCAUUUCAGAUUCUUGACCGAGUAGGAAAUGUGGCCUAUAGACUCGCGUUACCUCCAAGCAUAUCUCGUGUUCAUAAUGUUUUUUAUAUAUCUGUGCUUCGUAAAUAUGUGAAAGACCCGAAUCACGUUAUUGAGUUAGAACCAGACGAAAUAGCUGAAGAUUUAACAUACGAGGAGGUACCAAUUAAGAUCUUGGAUAGGAAGGAGCAUGUCCUACGCACAAAGGUCAUACCACAAGUCAAAGUUUUGUGGAAGAACCAUGCUAUAGAGGAAAUGACCUGGGAGUUGGAAACGGAAAUGAAAGCGAGGUAUCCUCACCUUUUCGAAACACCAGGUACGUACAUUAAUUUCGAGGACAAAAUUUCAUAAGGAGGGGAGGAUGUAAGACCCCAACUUAUUAUAAAUGAAAUUGAAUUUCCUCUAUUUAUUAUUUUGAAAUAGUAAGGGUUGAUUUGAUUAAUGUGGUUAGUUAUGGGUAAAAUGCGCAAAUAUUUUAAAUAAGCAAGUGGUUAUAAAAUAUUCAUUGUUGUCGGGGAAUAUUCGUUUGGUCGUGGAAUAUUCUUGUUGUCGGGAAAUAUUCGUACGACGGCGCAGCCUUGUGUGGGCCCCAUAACGGAAAGCGAUUGGAUGAAGAAAACGACAAGUAUAAGUUGUUUAUAAAUAACGGCGUAGUUGUUACCGUUAAUACUGUUGGAAUACCCGGUGGUUAAAACACAGUAAUACGCGUUGUUGCACAGUAGCACACGGUAUUGCACCAAUUAUUGAUUCUUACGUAAGAAGGCACUACUCAAUAAUUGUUACAGUAAUUACUGUUCAGUAUUUUAUUUUAUUGAUUCAAUAAUUGCUGCGUUGAUAUUUUAUAUUACUGUUGUUUCAAUAAUUGUCACUACACAGUAUUUUCCAUUAUCGAAGCAAUAAUUCAUAUUAUCUGAAUAAUAUUAUUAGAUAACAUUAUUGGCAAUGUCUAGAAAGUUCUGUCUAAGGAGAGGUUUGGUCACCUAAUUGCACACCAGUAAGGAGAAAUCCUUAUUGGAAAUCCCCCUCUUUCCUAGGAACGGCCUGGUUGUCGAUAUUGUGAUUCUGUAAUAUUAUUUGUGAAUAAUUAAUUAUUAAUUUAUAUGAUAAGAAAAAUAUUCAUUUUAUGUGGAUAUAGAUGGAGAAAAUUUUUAAUGUGACAAUUGUUGAAAAUUGAUAUUUUAUAUUUUCUGAUAAAAUAAUUCAUUUAAAUAUAUUAUUAUAUUAUAAUAAUAUAAUAAUGGUGAUAUUUUUACAAUGAAUGUGGGAUAUAUGAAUAUAUGAGGAGGAAUAGUAUUUUUUUUUACUAAAAAUAUUUAAAACAUGUUUUUCAUGUCUGUGGACCCCAUUUCUUGACUGAAAUUUGAUUAUAGCCUGUAAAAUCGCCCAUAUGUGAAUUUCGGUCAAUUUCUGCUUGAAAUUUGGAAAAACUUUCUUCUGCAAAGUUGUAGAGAAUUAAAUUUCCUAUGGAAUGGACAUAAAAUUUGAAUUUUUCUAAUAAAAGGGCUAUUUAUUAUGAGGUAUUGAAGUUCCGGAAUAAUUGAUUUUUGAAAUUUUAAAUAUUUUUAUAAUAAAAACAUUUUUUACAUUUUGUGGGCCCCACUUGCAUGUGUUAAAUUGUUGAAAUCACAUUCAAAGGUGUGCAUAGGAAUUUUUAUUAUAAAUAAUAAUAUUUUAUUAAAUUUUCUGCUUUGGUAUUCUAAGCAUUUUCCUAUAAAUAGGGUGCUUAGGUUAGAAUUGAAAAUCACACCAGAAACUGAAAUCUUUCUCUCUCUAUAUUAUCGAGCGUAUUCUGGUGAGUAUUUUGAUACUUUGAGUGUUGCUAUACGGUGCAAGUUCCCUUCAGCACUAUAUCCAGUAUUUCAGUCAGAAGUACUGUCUUUUCGAGGUAAGGGAUAUUAUUUUUAUAAAUGAUAUUAUUUCUUUCAAUAUCAUUAUGCCGAAAUAUUGGUAAGAAUUUUCUUGUGAAAUUCUUGUCUUUUAGUAUCGGGAUUACUAUUCACGUAUACGGCACUAUUCACUAAUACGGCACUAUUCACAGAAAAAUUAAAUUUUCAUUUUUUGUCCAAAAUAUCUAUUAUGGAUACUAACUUUAAUUGUAUCCAUGGUUUGAUCAUUCUUGAAUGCUACUUCACUAUGGUUAUUUAUGAAGUAUUUUUGAACUUGGACUGUUUAAAGUACGAAUCCUUAUUAUUUGUUCUUUUGUUUCACUGAAUUCGUUUUCUUUAAAAUAUUUUUCAUCAUCCUCAGUCCUAAAUGAUGAUAUUACUGAAUAUCUUUGGCCUGUAGUGCAAAGAUGGUUGAUUUUCUUAUGAAUAUCUUUGGCCCGUAGUGCAAAGAUGUACAGGUGUUGAGAUGAACAUGACCAACUGAUGAAUAUCUUUUUCCUGUAGUGCAAAUAUGAAUAUUUGAUUCAAAAUGUAUAUUGAUUGAUGUUACAGGGAUAAAAUAUUGAUGAUAAACUUUUAAAUUCAUAGAAGAAAGUAGAUUUCAUUCUCUACGUAACUCUUCUAAUGAAUUAUUAUUUCCGUUGCGAAUAUUGAUUUAAAACUUGUUGUCUAUUGUAUUUUAUCAGAUUUUCCCUGUUGAGGACUAACAAUAAUUUGUUCUAUGUUAUUUUAGUCAUAAUAUUCUUUACUGGGCUAGUUGAGCUCACCCUUUUCCUUUUUGUUUCAUUUUUUUUCUCAGGAGGCGAGAAUGUAGCGAGUACUAGUCGGGGUAUGGAAUGAAGGUUCUAGAAAGUCGUUUUAGUAGUCCUCACUAUUUUGUAAAAUAGUGUAUCAAUAAUUGUAAUGAGGACUUAUUUGAUGUUGAUAUUGUCAAGAAGACAAUAUUUGUUUUUAAACUCACAGUUUAUGUGUUGUCGUAUUUUGCACAACAAUUGUAUUAAUAAAGUUGUAGUUAUUUCUGUACCAUAUAUUUGACGACUCAGAAUGGGUGUUGUAUACCUCUUUUGGGAGCGUCACAACCUAUUUAUAGGAGAAUGUCAUGGUACUAUUUAAAUAGUAAACAAUCAC